CUCACCGCCAUUCACUCACCCUCACCCCUCACUCACAGAAAUCUCAACAAGAAAAGAAAAGGGGGGAAACGGAAAGGGGAAAUGAGAGGGAAGAGAAGAGGGAGACCGUGAGAGAGGGAGAGCGCCAGGGGAGGAGGAGCUGUCGCGCUACCACCGUCGUCUCACCUGCGGCAUCACCACCGUCCGUCGCGCUGCCACCACACUGCGUCGUCGCCGAAAACAGAGACGCGAAGGAGAGGAGGCCGCGGGUCACUGUCCUCGAAGCUUUUGUCGUCACCGUGCAGAGCUGCCACCACCGUCAUCAUCGCGGGCUGCUGCUGCUGCGCGGGUGAUCGUCGCCGCCUUUGGGUCCAUCACCAUCGAGCAGAGCCACCGGAGAGAACCAUAGUUGUCACUGAAGCUCCAGUCGCCGUCAGAAGCUGCUGCCGACGCCGAUCUGCAUGCGCCGUCACCGUUGAGAUCCUCCGCCAUCGUUGACGACCCAGUCGCCACCGAUCUGGUCCGAGAGAGAGGAGAUGUGAACAGAAGAGAAGGCGGGAAGCCACCGCCGCUGUUGCUGAGUCACCGAAGCUUCUGGACUGAGCUUCCGCCGCCUGAAACCCGCUGCCGUCGCCGGAAAAAGCACUGCCGUUGUCGUCGUCGGAAUUCGUUGCCACCACCACCAUUAGAGGCGAACCCAGUUAUUUUCUCGCUGCCGGAGAGUUGUUUAUGUGUUUGAUUCCAUCAAAUUCGAAUCUAUUGUUGUUGCUGUGAGCCAAAUCGGAGUUGGUGAUGCU